ensembl:lncRNA
ACAGUGAAAACACAAUUUCUAUUUUUAUUUUAUUCUUGUACAUGUCCUUUUUUUAUUAUAUGUAAAACAUGACAAUGAAAACGUUGUUGUGUUUGUAGUUGUUCGUGUCAAUAAAGCUUUAUUGAAUUGAGGAGAGAGACAGAGAGAACGACAGAGAGAGAGAGAGACAUAGAGAGAGAGAGAGAGAGAGAGAGAGAUGACCACGGAGUUAACGGAAGCUAGAAAUUUUGAAUUUCAGUUCACCGCCAUUUCUUCGCGCCCACAGGAGCAGUGUUUGUUGUUGUGACAGAGAGACAGACACACAGACAGACAGACAGAUAGAUAGAUAGAUAGAUAGAUAGAUAGAUAGAUAGAUAGAUAGAUACAGACAGACAGACAGACACACAGACAGAAAGAGAAGAGAGAGAGAGAGAGAGAGAGAGGACCGCGAGUAAACGGAAGCUUGACAUUUCAGGUCACCGCCAUUUCUUCGCGCCCACAGGAGCAGAGUCUCUUCUUCAGCACGGUGCAGCUGGAUAGUGCAAGGCAAUCAACUUUGCAGGAAUGCAGUAUGGCCAGUACUCUGAUUCGUCGUCAUCGUUAUCAGCACUCAGCUUCAGUGAGUACAUUUAAAUAGAUUGGCUUCUGAACUGGUGCUGCCAUUAAAUGUUUUUGUUUCUUCAUACCUGUCAAAUACUUACAUGGCCACAUCAAUAAUUAUAUCUCCCAUAUAUGUCUACUACCCUGUUAUCUGGAGUUCCUUAAGUGUA